CCCGUCCGGUCCUGCGGACCCGGCCGCGGUGCCGGAAACCGGCCGGGCGUCGGAGGGGUGGCGUAUUAUUCUCCUCCGCUCCCCUCACCGCCAAUGCCUAUUCCCUAGGCGGGGCUGGGCGAGGUGGAGAGCUAGGGGAGGUGGACGAGAACUGCCGCGGUCGCUGACCUUACCGGCGGCGUCGGGGAGCGCCGCGGCUUCCAGUGGCCGCGUCGUGGCUGCUCGGAAGGAGCAGGCUUCUUCUGCGCUACUGCUGCCCCAGGUCCGCUCGUGGGAGACCGCGCCGCGAUCGCUCCGCUCCGAGCGGUCUCGGGUACUUGGCCCCGCCACCUACCCCACCGCCAGCUACCCCGCUGCCGCACGGGCUUCUCUGUGGGCUUCGCGGCACGGCGUGCCGACGAGCUCGGGCGACGGUAGAGGGGGACUUCGUCCCGCAACCACAACCACGGGAGGUACGGCCGAGGUUCUGCCUGCUGCGGCCAUCCGCGCCUCUGCUUCCGCUCACGGAGGAGGAGUAAGUGGUGCCGCGCGUUGCCGUGGCGCCGUAUCGGUACGCCCGCCGCCGAGCCCGGUCACCGAUGCCGUAGGACACAGCCGCAGCUGCCGCCCUCGGUGGGACGGCUACCUCCUCCCCCACCUCCGCCUCUGGGCCCCCCACGCCAACGCCGCGGUACGUGGUAUCCCCGCGAGCCUAGCCGGUGUUCGGUACCCAGCUCGGGGAACAAGUGACUGCCGCGUACGUAUCGUCGCGGUUCCGGCACGGGCACCCGCACCGUUCGUGGUUCUCGCCGCGCAGGCUGCUGCGGUACCGGCGCAGGUCGCUGAGCCACUGGUGGUAUCCGCGGUGUAGGUCACCGCACCACUGGUGUUGCUGGUCGCCGCGUUGCCGGCUUUGUUGCCUACCGGACGUGGUACGCUAUCUUCGCGGCUUCCGGUGGUUGCGGUACCAUCGCUGUUGCCAUCGUUGCUGGUAGGAGUGCCUAGUUCGCCUCUUUCUUCCUUUGUUCCUCAAGUCAACCACUACAAAUUCUGUCGCCCUUCCUAUUGUACAAGUGAUUGGUAGUUCGCCGAGUUGCUCCUGUGACUUAAAGAGAGGACACUCGCUAGUAAUUAGAGGGUGAUACAAGACAUGAAGGAUAGAAGACAUGAAGGUUCGAGGAUAUAAAAACUUGAUCUGUUAGUCGAAGAUGUACACGACGUGAACGUUAUAAAGAAGAGUUUGAUUUGAAGAUGUGGUUACGGUAAAACACAAAAAAAAUUUGAGACUACGAUAACAAAGUCGGUUAUUAUAACUUUACACAAGGGGCUCGUAUAAACUAUAAAUUGACACGAAACCAUUCCACGGUCCACAAUGACCUGUUCAUCUAUGUCUUUAUGAAUAGUCACGACCAGUCGCCGUUCAUUGUAUCCGUUGUUAAGUUCAUAGUUUCCUUGUAUACCGAAAACCUUAAGACAAUCCUUUUAAGAGAAAACAUUCUUCCGGUUUAGAAAAGGUUCCUAAAAGUUCACUGGUACAUAAAGUCGACUGUCCCGAUGACUGCCGCCACCGCACACCGAAGACCCUGUUGUUGUAGUUCACGAAGCACAUGUGUAACGUGAGGUUUACAGGCUGUUUUACAGGUGUGAUUUCUGCCUAAGUUUACUUUUCCUUUUGUAACGAUGCACCUGUACUGGGCCAGCUUUGGUACGGCUCAGUCGAAGUCGACUCAGCUCCCUGUUUUGAAGAAACCAAACUUUUCAAGUUCAACGUUCAACAGGACAAAAAUUCAACUCUCAUAAAUUCCAAAUGACCCGACCGGACGAACAACAAACCGGGUGCCCGUUAAAAAGACGGACCGGGCGAGCGACAUCUUAUAGUUCGCCGUCCGUAGCCAGGGGACGAUAAGGAGAAGGAGCCGUAGAGCCAGACCACCAGCUUGGGAAGGAACUCUCUGCUUGGGAUCGCAAACGCACGACCAAACUUCCGUACUCCCCUCUAGCGUAGUUGCUAGGACACUUGUAAUCGAGACUACUCUUGCGCCUGUCGUCGAGACUACUUCGACACCUGUGCUCGAGACUACUUGGGCGCAUGUGGUCGAGACUACUUCCACACCUGUACUCGAGACUACUUGCCCGCAUGUCGUCGAGACUACUACCGCACCUGUGUUCGAGACUACUUCCGUACACGAUGGCAUACUUCUUUUUCUUCGAAGUCUUCUGCACGUUCCUACACACACUGACGGGAUCUCUCAUGAGUCAACCUAUACUAGGAUUAAGACUUCGGCUGAUCUACAUAAGUUUCUUUAAAUACUACAGUUUCACACGAGCUUUUGCAGAAUCGACGAUACAAGCAAGACAAUUCGGACGAUAAUCCGUGAUACACACACUCUACUUGUUCUGAAAGUGGUUUCGACCCGUCUCUUACAUGAAGAGAUGAAACAAGUGACUCUUCGUGGAGUACUUCAAAGAGAGGUCAGGCCAACUAGCUUACGCCUAAUUCGAAAGUAGACCCGCAACAAAUUGGAUACAAGUUGACUACUUUCCCCAACUAUUCUCCCGACGAUAUUGUGUAUUGACCUCGGCGAAGCACCUUUCUCGCUUCGACUUUCUUGCCCUUUAGACACAGAAAAGAGAGGCUGUAACGUUCCCCCACGGUCACAAGUGACACGUGUUUUAGACUUCUCCAAAGACACUACGUCAAACCUUCAUCCUUCUACCCUUCCACAAGACGUUCCCGUACAUCUAUACAAGAGAUCAUGAGGGAGGCAAAAAUAAAUGAAGCGUAUAAUCGUGAUUUCAAACUGGUUCAAAUAUCUUCUUUUAUAUUUAUAAAUGGUAUUCUUUAAAUAUGAUACACCUUCAUGUAAACUAUUACUUAGAUUACCACAACUAAAGAAUAACAUAUACAAUUAUAAAAACAGAUGUUUGAAACAGUUUCAAAUAUUUCAAACUGAAACUGGUUUCGAUUAUACGUCUCAUUUAUUUUUGCCUCCCUCAUACUACCAUACGGAUACAAAUCAUUACAAAUCAGCAAACUAUCUGAUACCAGGCCAAACAACCCGGUUCCUUUGGUCCUACGAAAAGAAAACCGUCAUUACAUAGGAGAUACGAUAGAUACAUUACGUUACUACUACUUCUGAGAUUUGAUAAUCACUCGAUAUACGAAAACGGAUUGUAACAUCAAGGCAAACAGACUUCAUUAAUUCGCAUGCGUGUAUCUAUAUAGUAUCAGUCAUGUGCCCUAAAGUAUUCUAUCCUAAUUUCAAAGCCGACGUACUUUUAUGAGGCGUGCUUCCUAUUAUCCAAAACCAUUACGGAAACUC
rnacentral:rRNA from 1 species